GAGAGUAGGCGUAGGCGGUUGCAGAACUGUCAUUAUUGGUAGUUUUGAGGAAAGUCCGGGCUCCCGAAAGACCAAACUUGCUGGAUAACGUCCAGUGCGAGCGAUCGUGAGGAUAGUGCCACAGAAAGAUACCGCCAGAAAAGUAAAAAGUGAAAAGUAAAAGGCAAAAAGAUUUCUUUUUACUUUUACGUUUUAACUCUUGCUUUAUUUGGUAAGGGUGCAAAGGUGCGGUAAGAGCGCACCAGCACGAUCGAGAGGUCGUGGCUCGGUAAACCCCGGUUGGGAGCAAGGUCAGAGGAACUACGGUUGGUCUUUUACCAGUUCCGUUUAUGAGAGCCGCUAGAGGCGUUUGGUAACAAGCGUCCCAGAUAGAUAACCGCCCUCAUGUAAAAUUUUUACAUAGAGAACAGAACCCGGCUUACUACCGACUUUCUCCU
rnacentral:RNase_P_RNA from 1 species